rnacentral:rRNA from 1 species
UACGUAGGCAGCGAGCGUUGUUCGGAAUUACUGGGCGUAAAGCGUGCGCAGGCGGUUUUGUAAGCCAGAUGUGAAAUCCCCGGGCUUAACCUGGGAAUGGCAUUUGGGACUGCAAGGCUUGAGUGCGGCAGAGGAGACUGGAAUUCCUGGUGUAGCAGUGAAAUGCGUAGAUAUCAGGAGGAAUACCGAUGCGAAGGCAGGUCUCUGGGCUGACACUGACGCUCAUGCACGAAAGCGUGGGGAGCAAACAGG